AUGACCCUACGGGGCGCAGCAGUAGGGAAUCUUCCACAAUGGACGAAAGUCUGAUGGAGCAACGCCGCGUGAGUGAAGAAGGGUUUCGGCUCGUAAAGCUCUGUUGGUAGUGAAGAAAGAUAGAGGUAGUAACUUGCCUUUAUUUGACGGUAAUUACUUAGAAAGUCACGGCUAACUACGUGCCAGCAGCCGCGGUAAUACGUAGGUGGCAAGCGUAGUCCGGGUUUAUUGGGCGUAAAGGGAACGCAGGCGGUCUUUUUAGUC
rnacentral:rRNA from 1 species